AGAGUUUGAUCCUGGCUCAGAAUGAACGUUGGCGGCGUGGAUUAGGCAUGCAAGUCGAGCGCGAACCCCGCAAGGGGGGAAAGCGGCGAAAGGGACAGUAAUACGUAGAUAUCUGCCCUCGGGUCCGGGAUAGCUGCGGGAAACUGCAGGUAAUACCGGAUAACAUCUCCGGAUCAAAGGUGUGAUUCCGCCUGAGGAUGAGUCUGCGUCCUAUUAGCUAGUUGGUAAGGUAACGGCUUACCAAGGCAAUGAUGGGUAGCGGGUGUGAGAGCACGACCCGCGUCACUGGGACUGAGACACUGCCCAGACACCUACGGGUGGCUGCAGUCGAGGAUCUUCGGCAAUGGGCGCAAGCCUGACCGAGCGACGCCGCGUGCGGGAUGAAGGCUUUCGGGUUGUAAACCGCUGUCAGAGGGGAUGAAAUGUAGGUGGGUUCUCCCAUCUAUUUGACAUAGCCUCAGAGGAAGUACGGGCUAAGUUCGUGCCAGCAGCCGCGGUAAUAC
rnacentral:rRNA from 1 species